rnacentral:lncRNA from 1 species
UUGGUUGAUCGGCUUCACUGGUGGCUACGGAGGUGGACGUUCAUGGCUGGAGGGUGGUUAUGGUCGUUUCUGGAACGAGGCAGAAGUAGAAAUGAGCUGCUGCAUCAAUGGCAUGAGGGUGAAGGCGUUAGGUUGUUGUUGUUGGUGUUAGUCAGUGUGGUCGUGUGGACUGGAGACGGUGGAACAUGGUGGUCGUUUGGGCUGGGUUCGACGGACGCUGGACUGACUGCUGGGUAAAGACGGGCGAAGAAAAAGGAGCAGCGGUGGUUGAUGGACGGUGACCUGAGGUUGGGCAGUGAGGUUGUUUGGAAUAGGGUUUUUUGGUGUUCUUGUCUUCUUGUGUUUUUG